GAAUCUUUUGACCGACUAAGAUAUAUUCCAAAUCCUACAACAGAAACCUGCCAGAGCUCAGCUGCCGUAAUAAUGGUGAAGACAUCACAAAUUUUGUUGACUGUUCUGUGGUUUCCGUUAAACUGGGCAAAUGACAAAAAUGGAGCGGAGCAGCGUCUUCAAUACCUGAGUGCCAGGGAAGGGGAAUCAGUCACAGUCAACUGCAGUUACACCGUGGGAAUGACCACUUUACACUGGUUUCGACAGAAUCCUGGUGGCAGCAUGGUGCGCUUGUUUAUUCUGAGCUUAGAGAUGAAGGAGGAAGGAAGAUUGUGCGUUUUGAUCAACACAGAGGAAAGACUCAGCACCCUGCACAUCACAGCCUCCCAGCCCAGUGACUCUGCCACCUACCUCUGUGCCAUGAAGACACAGUAUGCCCUUUGCAUUUGAGGUCUGUACUCAAACUGAAAAGCUGAAGCCUUUGUUGUAUUGUUCUGUGGAAAACUGAGAAAUGUUAUACAUGUACAAACUAUUGUAUUUACUGUCGA